AGACGCCAUAUGUGAUCCAAUAGCCAAAGGCUAUUAGCACAGGAAAAGAUCUGAUAAAAGUCUAUGAUUUUGUCCGUGUAGUUGACACUGCCGUUUUAACAUCAAGGGGGAAAUGCAAAGCUUCUAGUUCUGAUGAAUAGACAGUGACUAAAUAUAUUCCAUCAUGGCUGAGUGUCAGGGGCUGGCUCGGUACAAUCAAGCAUUUUGCAGUUCCUGAGGUCCUGAGGUUUGGCCAUAUAAGAACAUCCAGGUAGAUCCAGGUCUCUCGGCAACUCCAGACCCCCUGUUCCAGGAGUCCUGAUCGAAAGAGCUUGCUGCAAGAGUCAGUAGCCAGCAGCUAAACUGUUUCACCUCCUUUUCUUUUCUUGCCUGGUCUCUGGGUGGAAGUUCCAAUUAGGACUGAAACAGCCCCCAAAGCCGGCAGCUGAAGAGGAAAGGGGGAAUAUGGUGGUGCAUCAGUGCCAUCUAACUUGGUCUUAAACAGUAGGAAAUUAGCUGCUUGUCAUUAAAAUAAACUAAUGCCAGCCUGUUCCGUGGCUGCACGCUGCAGGGGACAUGAAAGGGGACUGGUGAAGUCCCCACAGUUUCUAGGGGUUAGAAUGGGCCGCUCUUCUCCCCUCCAGAUUCCGGCCACACUGUUAGUCAGCUGUGGAUCCUCUCCUCCCUUGCCUAAGUUAGAGGAGACAAAGUCUUGUUUCAGACAUCCCAGACUUCAUUCCCCAGAGAAGCAGAGAAUGAAUGGGUACUGUAUGUUCACUGCGGGUGUCCGAGAAGCUGCACAGGAAUUGUCUUAACGUGAAGAGAGUCCACACUGGACACCGGCACAAAGGGCAGAGUGAAGGGAUGAGCAUCAAAUGCGUCUCUGUUUGCCACCAGCACACGUUUCAGCUGUGCUAGAUUUGACUAGGCGCAGGACUCUGAACUAGUGGUUUGGUGACUAUUACCCUCCACGGUAUUGCUAUCACAUGCUCCCUGACCCCCUUCCUAAUAUUGCUGUGGUUCAGCAGCUCCAGUCUGCUGUUGAAAUGCUGGUAGUAUUCAAAACUCCGUUGGGACAUAUUAAAUUCUGGUGAGCCAGUGGGUGGGAUACCUUCUGAAUGACAAAGGGGCCCCCGUGGCUAAAAGCUGAAGGAAAUCUGUGCAAUGAUGAAUGUGCUGCAAUUAAUCACCAGAGAUCUGUUCUUUUCUUUAUAUGCAUAGUACAGCGCAGGGGCCAGGGCUGGGAGAGUCUCUGAGCCCAGACCUUCAUAGAAUUAAAAAUAAUGAACGUUUGUUAUCAGGCAUGACUUGACCAACAACUCCGCCUCCAUAGUUGGAAAUACAGACGUCCACUUUUCGCUGGCGUGUAAUGAUUUUCUGGAAUGCUGAGAAUUGUUCCCUGACCUAUGGCUCCUUUUUAAGCAUCUGGGAUAUGCAGUCUCUUUGCAAGUUGCUAUUUUGAAGUGAGGGAGUCUCAGGGAAUUGAAUAUAUGCCGCAUAAGUUCCUGCAAGAUGGACUUUCCGGGAGUCCUCUGAUGAGGUUGGGAGAAGGCAAAGAGAAGUUUCCGUGUAAAGGCUGAGCAAGCUCCAGGCCACUGCCGAAGUUCAGCUUUCUUCAGCUCUGUAAGCUGGACCCUGUGGCUGGAGUCCGGCCAGCUGCAGUGACAAGUUUCUAUUAUUAUGUAAAUGGAGUCCCAGUGCAGCCUUGGAAGAGUUUUUGGCACAGGGUAACCCUUUGACUGCCAAAAGGUAGCCUCUCCCUUUGCUUCAAGCCCAGAGUGUGCAUUUUGCCGUGGUGACCUGUAAGCCACCAGUCAACCUGCAGAUUGCCUUAUUAGGCAGACUGUGGAGAAUGGCGGCUGGGGACUGGCUGGCAGAGGCGGUGGCAGCGAGCUUGUGUCCUGUAUGAAGCCGGAGAACCCGAGCCCUUGGGACGUGGCCUAGUACUGUUCUAUUAAUGACAGUGCUCCCCGAUGACAGGAAUAUGCCCUCUCCUUGGCAGGCAUACUUUAUGGGUUGGUUGGAAAACAGGAGGUUUAUAGGAGGAGGUGACUGCCCGAAGGACAGAAUGGUAUGGGGCUUUCUUCACUGCAUAGCUUGUGCUGUUCAGUCCUGUAUUAGGGCUGAUUCUAGAGUAUGGACUUUAUCAGAAAUUUCUUUUUUUUAAGUUCAUGUUUGUCAUAUAAGUAAACUCCUGUUAUGGGGGUUUGUUGUACAGAUUAUUUCAUCACCCAGGCAUUAAGCCCAGUACCCACUUGUUAUUUUUUCAUGAUGCUCUCCCUGCUCCCACCCUCUACCCUCCGAAAGGCCCCAGUGUGUGUUGUUUCUCUCUAUGUGUCCAUGUGUUCUCAUCAUUUAACUCCCACUUAUAAGUGAAAACAUGCAGUAUUUGGUUUUCUGUUCCUGCGUUAGUUUGCUAAAGAUAGUAGCCUCCAGCUCCAUCCGUGUCCCUACAAAGGACACGAUCUCAUUCUUUUUUAUGGCUGCAUAGUAUUCCUUAUCAGGAAAUGUGGAAUGUUUUCCUUUUAAUCCAAGAUGUUUUGCAGACUCUAAAUCUUGUUUGUGUUUUAUACUAAAGUCUUUCUAAUGGUGAAGUCAUGUGUGUAGUAGGAAGGAAACAUCACUAGGUAAUAAGGUGGUACAAUGGAAACAGCAGAGUUUUAGGAGCCAGAGGACCUGUGUUCCAGGGCUGCCACAAGUGACCUAAGUGGAUAAGUCACUUGCACUGGGAAGGUGGCUUCCCCAAGGACAGAAUGGUAGAGCUUAUGUAUCUAGGGCUUAGUGGGCGAUCACUAGUGACCACUAGUGAAUCUGUGAUCACUAUAUAUUAAAUGUAUUCAAACAUUACUAUGUACCCCAUAAAUAUGUACAUUUAUUAUUUGUCAGUUAAAAACUAAUAUAAAAAUGUAGAGUAGACUGAAUGCACUCCAUUACCUCUCCAUUGUACAUUUCUCUCCUCAAAUUGCGUUAACCAGCCUCCCCUCUCCUUUGUGUUCUCUUCAGUAAAGCUGUUUAAUGAGUGUGUGGGGUUAACAGCCACAGCCAAGCAUCCACGGGGACCGUUCCCCUGACAGAACCUGUAAGGCUGAAUCCAUCUUUUCUCUUUUAAGUUUCUUCCAAACUUGCUGCA
rnacentral:lncRNA from 1 species